rnacentral:miRNA from 1 species
CAACAAGUCACAGCCAGCCUCA